rnacentral:rRNA from 1 species
UACGUAGGGAGCAAGCGUUGUCCGGAAUCAUUGGGCGUAAAGCGCGCGUAGGUGGCUUCGUAAGUCCGUUGUGAAAGUCAAAGGCUCAACCUUUGAAAGCCGAUGGAUACUGCGGAGCUAGAGUACGGAAGAGGCGAGUGGAAUUCCCGGUGUAGCGGUGGAAUGCGCAGAUAUCAGGAGGAACACCAAUAGCGAAGGCAGCUCGCUGGGACGUUACUGACACUGAGGCGCGAAAGCGUGGGGAGCGAACAGG